GUCGGAAUCGCUAGUAAUCGCGGAUCAGCAUGCCGCGGUGAAUACGUUCCCGGGCCUUGCACACACCGCCCGUCACACCAUGAGAGUCGGGAACACCCGAAGUCCGUAGCCUAACAGCAAUGAGGGCGCGGCGAAGGUGGGUUCGAUAAUUGGGGUGAAGUCGUAACAAGGUAUC
rnacentral:rRNA from 1 species